UACGAAGGGGGCGAGCGUUGUUCGGAAUCACUGGGCGUAAAGGGCGCGUAGGCGGCCCUUCUUGUCGCGUGUGAAAGCCCCGGGCUCAACCUGGGAAUGGCGCGCGAGACGGGGGGGCUGGAGUUCGGGAGAGGAGCGUGGAAUUCCUGGUGUAGAGGUGAAAUUCGUAGAUAUCAGGAGGAACACCAGUGGCGAAGGCGGCUUCCUGGACACCAACUGACGCUGAGACGCGAAAGCGUGGGGAGCAAACAGG
rnacentral:rRNA from 1 species